UCUCCCGGUUCGCCGAAUCCUGCCGCCGGAGAGGCCACGGUUACGAAACCCGAAAGGCAGGAGCGGGGGAACCAAGUGGAAUGCCGUCCCGGGCGUCCGCAUGUCGCGGACAUCCGAUAACGACGGCUUGGGGUGAAGCCGUGCCCGCCUCCUCGAUACCCGAGGAGUCGACGCCGGCCGGGCGAGACUCUCCAGCCCGAAUCCGACAGCUCACUUCGUAGGCGUGGGAGAAGGAAAAA
rnacentral:sRNA from 2 species